rnacentral:rRNA from 1 species
GAUGAACGCUGGCGGCGUGCCUAAUACAUGCAAGUCGAGCGAAUGGAUUAAGAGCUUGCUCUUAUGAAGUUAGCGGCGGACGGGUGAGUAACACGUGGGUAACCUGCCCAUAAGACGGGGAUAACUCCGGGAAACCGGGGCUAAUACCGGACACCAUUUUGAACCGCAUGGUUCGAAAUUGAAAGGCGGCUUCGGCUGUCACUUCUGGAUGGUCCCGCGUCGCAUUAGCUAGUUGGUGAGGUAACGGCUCACCAAGGCAACGAUGCGUAGCCGACCUGAGAGGGUGAUCGGCCACACUGGGACUGAGACACGGCCCAGACUCCUACGGGAGACAGCAGUAGGGAAUCUUCCACAAUGGACGAAAGUCUGACGGAGCAACGCCGCGUGAGUGAUGAAGGCUUUCGGGUCGUAAAACUCUGUUGUUAGGGAAGAACAAGUGCUAGUUGAAUAAGCUGGCACCUUGACGGUACCUAACCAGAAAGCCACGGCUAACUACGUGCCAGCCGCCGCCGUAA